AUUGAACGCUGGCGGCAGGCCUAACACAUGCAAGUCGGACGGUAGCACAGAGAGCUUGCUCUCGGGUGACGAGUGGCGGACGGGUGAGUAAUGUCUGGGGAUCUGCCCGAUAGAGGGGGAUAACCACUGGAAACGGUGGCUAAUACCGCAUAACGUCGCAAGACCAAAGAGGGGGACCUUCGGGCCUCUCACUAUCGGAUGAACCCAGAUGGGAUUAGCUAGUAGGCGGGGUAACGGCCCACCUAGGCGACGAUCCCUAGCUGGUCUGAGAGGAGGAGCAGCCACACUGGAACUGAGACACGGUCCAGACUCCUACGGGAGGCAGCAGUGGGGAAUAUUGCACAAUGGGCGCAAGCCUGAUGCAGCCAUGCCGCGUGUAUGAAGAAGGCCUUCGGGUUGUAAAGUACUUUCAGCGGGGAGGAAGGCGAUGUGGUUAAUAACCGCAUUGAUUGACGUUACCCGCAGAAGAAGCACCGGCUAACUCCGUGCCAGCAGCCGCAGUAA
rnacentral:rRNA from 1 species